rnacentral:rRNA from 1 species
UACGAAGGGUGCAAACGUUGCUCGGAAUUAUUGGGCGUAAAGCGCACGUAGGCGGUAUGACAAGUCGGAUGUGAAAUCCCUCGGCUUAACCAAGGAAGUGCAUCCGAAACUGUCGUACUUGAGUACUUAAGAGGAUCGCGGAAUUCCCGGUGUAGAGGUGAAAUUCGUAGAUAUCGGGAGGAACACCAGUGGCGAAGGCGGCGAUCUGGGAAGAUACUGACGCUGAGGUGCGAAAGCGUGGGGAGCAAACAGG